CGGAUUGUAGUCUGNAACCCGACUACAUGAAGCUGGAAUCGCUAGUAAUCGCGGAUCAGAAUGCCGCGGUGAAUACAUUCCCGGGUCUUGUACACACCGCCCGUCACACCAUGGGAGUCGGAAAUACCCGAAGCCCGUGAGCUAACUUAAAGAGGCAGCAGUCGAAGGUAGAGCCAAUGAUUGGGGUGAAGUCGUAACAAGGUAAC
rnacentral:rRNA from 1 species